rnacentral:rRNA from 1 species
CCUACGGGAGGCAGCAGUGGGGAAUAUUGGACAAUGGGGGGAACCCUGAUCCAGCGACGCCGCGUGAGUGAAGAAGUAUUUCGGUAUGUAAAGCUCUAUCAGCAGGGAAGAAAGAAAUGACGGUACCUGACUAAGAAGCCUCGGCUAACUACGUGCCAGCAGCCGCGGUAAUACGUAGGGGGCAAGCGUUAUCCGGAUUUACGGGGUGUAAAGGGAGCGUAGACGGCGAUGCAAGUCUGAAGUGAAAGGCGGGGGCCCAACCCCCGGACUGCUUUGGAAACUGUAUGGCUGGAGUGCAGGGGAGGUAAGUGGAAUUCCUAGUGUAGCGGUGAAAUGCGUAGAUAUUAGGAGGAACACCAGUGGCGAAGGCGGCUUACUGGACUGUAACUGACGUUGAGGCUCGAAAGCGUGGGGAGCAAACAGGAUUAGAUACCCUAGUAGUC